rnacentral:rRNA from 1 species
AUUGAACGCUGGCGGCAUGCUUUACACAUGCAAGUCGAACGGCAGCGCGGGGCAACCUGGCGGCGAGUAGCGAACGGGUGAGUAAUAUAUCGGAACGUACCCAGAAGUGGGGGAUAACGUAGCGAAAGUUACGCUAAUACCGCAUACGAUCUACGGAUGAAAGUAGGGGACCGCAAGGCCUUAUGCUUUUGGAGCGGCCGAUAUCUGAUUAGCUAGUUGGUGAGGUAAAGGCUCACCAAGGCGACGAUCAGUAGCUGGUCUGAGAGGACGACCAGCCACACUGGAACUGAGACACGGUCCAGACUCCUACGGGAGGCAGCAGUGGGGAAUUUUGGACAAUGGGCGCAAGCCUGAUCCAGCAAUGCCGCGUGAGUGAAGAAGGCCUUCGGGUUGUAAAGCUCUUUUGUCAGGGAAGAAACGGUAGAGGCUAAUAUCCUUUGCUAAUGACGGUACCUGAAGAAUAAGCACCGGCUAACUACGUG